rnacentral:rRNA from 1 species
AUACAGAGGGUGCAAGCGUUAUUCGGAAUUACUGGGCGUAAAGCGCGCGUAGGCGGAUGAUUAAGUCAGUUGUGAAAGCCCUGGGCUCAACCUAGGAACUGCAUCUGAUACUGGUCGUAUAGAGUUUAAGAGAGGGAAGUGGAAUUCCAGGUGUAGCAGUGAAAAGCGUAGAUAUCUGGAGGAACAUCAGUGGCGAAGGCGACUUCCUGGCUUAAAACUGACGCUGAGGUGCGAAAGCGUGGGUAGCGAACGGGAUUAGAUACCCUAGUAGUCC